UACGAAGGGGGCUAGCGUUGCUCGGAAUUACUGGGCGUAAAGGGCGCGUAGGCGGACAGUUUAGUCGGGGGUGAAAGCCCGGGGCUCAACCUCGGAAUUGCCUUCGAUACUGGCUGUCUUGAGUACGGGAGAGGUGUGUGGAACUCCGAGUGUAGAGGUGAAAUUCGUAGAUAUUCGCAAGAACACCAGUGGCCAAGGCGGCUCACUGGCCCGGUACUGACGCUGAGAUACGAAAGCGUGGGGAGCAAACAGG
rnacentral:rRNA from 1 species